ensembl:snRNA U6 U6 spliceosomal RNA
GUGCUUAUUUCAACAGCACACACACUCAAAUUGGAACUAUAUAGAGGUUAGCAUGGCUCCUGCAAAAGGAUGACAUGGAAUUUGUAAAGCAUUCUGUAUUUUU